GAUGAACGCUGGCGGCGUGCCUAAUACAUGCAAGUCGAGCGAACAGACGAGGAGCUUGCUCCUCUGACGUUAGCGGCGGACGGGUGAGUAACACGUGGAUAACCUACCUAUAAGACUGGGAUAACUUCGGGAAACCGGAGCUAAUACCGGAUAAUAUAUUGAGCCGCAUGGUUCAAUAGUGAAAGACGGUUUUGCUUUCACUUAUAGAUGGAUCCGCGCCGCAUUAGCUAGUUGGUAAGGUAACGGCUUACCAAGGCAACGAUGCGUAGCCGACCUGAGAGGGUGAUCGGCCACACUGGAACUGAGACACGGUCCAGAAUCCUACGGGAGGCAGCAGUAGGGAAUCUUCCGCAAUGGGCGAAAGCUUGACGGAGCAACGCCGCGUGAGUGAUGAAGGUCUUCGGAGCGUAAAACUCUGUUAUUAGGGAAGAACAAAUGUGUAAGUAACUAUGCACGUCUUGACGGUACCUAAUCAGAAAGCCACGGCUAACUACGUG
rnacentral:rRNA from 1 species